rnacentral:lncRNA from 1 species
CUCAAGUAGCUGUGAUUACAGGUGCAUGCCACCACGCCCGGGUAUUUUUUUUUGUAUUUUUAGUAGAGACAGGGUUUCACCAUGUUGGCCAGGCUGGUUUUGAACUCCUGACCUCAAGUGAUCCACCUGCCUCGACCUCUGUGUGAUGUUCCCUUUCCUGUGUCCAUGUGUUCUCAUUGUUCAGUUCCCACCUAUGAGUGAGAACAUGCGGUGUUUGGUUUUCUGUCCUUGCGAUAGUUUGCUGAGAAUGAUGGUUUCCAGCUUUUACACUGUUGGUGGGACUGUAAACUAGUUCAACCAUUGUGGAAGUCAGUGUGGCGAUUCCCCAGGGAUCUAGAACUAGAAAUACCAUUUGACCCAGCAAUCCCAUUACUGGGUAUAUACCCAAAGGAUUAUAAAUCAUGCUGCUAUAAAGACACAUGCACACAUAUGUUUAUUGUGGCACUAUUCACAAUAGCAAAGACUUGGAACCAACCCAAAUGUCCAACAAUGAUAGACUAGAUUAAGAAAAUGUGGCACAUAUACACCAUGGAA